rnacentral:rRNA from 1 species
AUUGAACACUGGCGGCAUGCCUUACACAUGCAAGUCGAACGGCAGCACGGGAGCAAUCCUGGUGGCGAGUGGCGAACGGGUGAGUAAAGCAUCGGAACGUGCCCAGUCGUGGGGGAUAACGUAGCGAAAGCUACGCUAAUACCGCAUACGAUCUGUGGAUGAAAGCGGGGGACCGUAAGGCCUCGCGCGAUUGGAGCGGCCGAUGUCAGAUUAGGUAGUUGGUGAGGUAAAGGCUCACCAAGCCGACGAUCUGUAGCUGGUCUGAGAGGACGACCAGCCACACUGGGACUGAGACACGGCCCAGACUCCUACGGGAGGCAGCAGUGGGGAAUUUUGGACAAUGGGCGCAAGCCUGAUCCAGCAAUGCCGCGUGCAGGAUGAAGGCCUUCGGGUUGUAAACUGCUUUUGUACGGAGCGAAACGGCUUCCACUAAUACUGGGGGCUAAUGACGGUACCGUAAGAAUAAGCACCGGCUAACUACGUGCCAGCAGCCGCCGUAAAAC